rnacentral:tRNA from 1 species
GGUGCGUGACGUAGAGCGCCUGCUUUACACGCAGGAUGCCGGGGGUUCGAAUCCCUCACGGCCCA